AGCAGUUCUGUAUUUCACAGUCCCCUGGCCUCUGCCGGGGUGGCGGGGUCAGGCCUCCUGACUACAACCAGGGGAUACUCUGAGGAAUCUACUGGUUGAUUCAUUAUUGAGAGGCUGGUAAGACCUUUGUUCAAAUUGCCAAAAAUUACAAUUUGCCUUUCUUCCAUCAUCUGCUUGAAUCAGCCGGUGAUUUGAAUGGGUUUCCAUUUGGGCAAAUUUAAAGUUCCCUUUGUUUCUUUGCAUAAGAAAUUACAGGGCUGGGCCUACCUGAACUCUAAUCUGAAGCAUGAAUACAUCAGUUGUACAAUAAAAUGUACAUUUUUAAAAGGCUUUGAGUGGCUUUCCACUGGACAAAUUUAGGAAGAAUCCUGUUUCUUGAACAUUACCAGCAGGGGGGCCUACCUGAAAUGAACUGUGGCAUGAAUACACCCUUGCCGUCCUUCAUAUUGUUGUACAAUAAAAGCUGGAGAAGAAUCUGAAUAUUCUUUUUAUGUGGCUACAAUUUCAGAGGUACUGCUGUUUUGUUUGACACUUUUCCAUGUAUUUACCAUAUCCCACCAAUAAUAUGAUGGAUUGUAUUCUACUAUACAUCUAAGCUGCUGUCUGCAGUGAACAUAUACUGUUGCAGUAUAUAUUUGAAUCUGUCCUUCUGCUCUUUUGGCAAAUCUCACUACUUUUUUCCGACAAAGUAUAAACGCUAAUUUAAAAGAUUAAGGGUGUGAUUACGUAAUGUGU